rnacentral:rRNA from 1 species
UACGUAGGGACCAAGCGUUGUUCGGAUUUACUGGGCGUAAAGGGCGCGUAGGCGGCUUGACAAGUCACUUGUGAAAUCUCCGGGCUUAACUCGGAACGGCCAAGUGAAACUGUCAUGCUAGAGUGCAGAAGGGGCAAUCGGAAUUCUUGGUGUAGCGGUGAAAUGCGUAGAUAUCAAGAGGAACACCUGAGGUGAAGACGGGUUGCUGGGCUGACACUGACGCUGAGGCACGAAAGCGUGGGGAGCAAACAGG